UUAGGCGGCGGCUGUUUGUUGGGCUUGGGGAUGCACUGAAUCUCUCAGCAUCUGUUAUCGUAGCAUUCAGUCAAGCAGGUGAGGGAUGCACACUGGUGGGUUCAGGGCAACAGCUGAGGCCGACAGCACACGUGCAUUUGGGUUGUAGGAGUAAGAAGGCGGUUGUAAAAGGGGGCAAGUUUUCUUCCUAAUCACUUUGCCAAAUAGCUGUUGAAAUUCCAGGAACGUAGAAUCCAGAACCACAGAGGCAUAUUCACUGUCUCUGGAUACGGUGGAUUCUUUGCCGCUGAGGCACAAGAGACGCCCUUCCCUUGUUAAGAGAACCACUUUACCUGGGAUAAGGUGGUCUGAUAAAAAACAAAACAAGGACUGAACAUGGAAGAACCUCAGGAUUCUAAAAUUUUACAGCUGGAAUUGCCCUAGAUAUCAGCAAGUUUAUGGGAAAUAUUUAAUUUUAAAAAUGAAGGCCUGGAUGGAUUUAAUGGGCUCCAGCACCCUGACUUCAGAAUUUAAUGGUGGAGCACAAUUGAAAACUGAGUUCUCCAUAAUAAGCAAGUGAAAGAAAAUGUUAAAAAAAUCUGCAUCAAGAAGACAGAGUGCCAGGUACUUAAAAGUCCAUCCCAGAAAGUGUUCCAACAGAUCAUCCGCAGUCAGUCACCACGCUCACAGCCUAGAGCAGCUGAUGGCCCACUGCUUACUUCAAGUUAAAUGUUUAGUUACUUUCCUCUGAGAAGACACAACCCAUUUGCUCUUCAGCUCUGCAAGGAGUGAGACAGCUGUACACAGAUAAACAGUUUUCAAACUGCCACUAAUCACCAUGUGUGGGAAGCCAAAUAGAUGGUCUGAUUCCUUUUAGAUCAUGUUUUCUGAGAUUUUCAUUGAUUCACUCUGUAGGUUUAUUGGGUCCCAUCUACGUGACAAGCACUCUUCCCAGGGCUGGAAUUGCUGCCAUGAACAAGCAGAUGAAGUCCUUCUCUCAUGGAGCUUACCUUCUAUUUUGAGAGGGUUUUUCUGUUUUUUUUUUUUUUUAGCACUACUAAGAAAAGGGGCAGGAGACAGAAAAAAGACAAGUCAGUAAAAGCAGCGACAAAGACUGCAUAAAAUGAACGUGAGGUGCUCUGAAGGUCAAGGACUGAGGUCAGAGAAGGGUUAAAAAUCCAAUAAGUGAUAUGUAACCUGAGAUCUGAAUGACAGACAGCCCUUUCUGCAGAUCUGAAGGGAAA